rnacentral:sRNA from 1 species
GGCUGGUUCCAUGAUACAGGGUUAUCAGAAUUUAACAUUAGUGUUACUGAAGUAGGUACACAACACCCCCCCUGCUAUUAAUAAAUUUGACUGGCUUUCA